GUGGGGAAUAUUGGACAAUGGGCGAAAGCCUGAUCCAGCCAUGCCGCGUGUGUGAAGAAGGUCUUCGGAUUGUAAAGCACUUUAAGUUGGGAGGAAGGGCAGUAAGUUAAUACCUUGCUGUUUUGACGUUACCGACAGAAUAAGCACCGGCUAACUUCGUGCCAGCAGCCGCGGUAAUACGAAGGGUGCAAGCGUUAAUCGGAAUUACUGGGCGUAAAGCGCGCGUAGGUGGUUCAGUAAGUUGGAAGUGAAAUCCCCGGGCUCAACCUGGGAACUGCUUUCAAAACUGCUGAGCUAGAGUACGGUAGAGGGUGGUGGAAUUUCCUGUGUAGCGGUGAAAUGCGUAGAUAUAGGAAGGAACACCAGUAGCGAAGGCGACCACCUGGACUGAUACUGACACUGAGGUGCGAAAGCGUGGGGAGCAAACAGGAUUAGAAACCCGGGUAGUCC
rnacentral:rRNA from 1 species